CCGUGUGAUGCCGGCGCGACGCGUUGGAGGUACUGGAGGCGUUGAACAUGAUUAUCAGGUGCGUCCGGUCCAGUGCAGCAAAUUUUUUUUUUGGUUCAGUCUCCGAGUUGCAAAUGUACUGAUGGCCAUGUGCAGUAAGAAUGGUUGCUUGGCCAAUGGAUCCACGUUCUAGAUGGAGCUACUAUUUGUUGAUUUAUCCUGUAUCUAGAAUUAUAGAUUCAGUAGGGAUGCUGCAAUAGUUUCAAACUCGUUUUCUGACAUUCACUAUCACUCUGAAUGCCAUUUGCUUUAAGAAUAAAACCACUGUAAAGCGUUGGUUAAGAACGAAUUGAUCCUACUACCUGUUGAUUGCCAUCGACUACUUUUAAGAAUAAGUUUUUAGCAGUAAAUAAUUAGGCUAAGUGUAUCAUGGUAUCUAUUGAUUUAUUGGACAUGCAUGGCAUAUGUUUUCUCUUUAAUUUGUUACACUCCACAAGAUUAUAGAACUUCUUUAGGAUGUUAAAUGAUGGUUUUAAGGCUGAUAAUGAGCAGCUGAGCAGUAAACAUACAAUAUAGCACUGUACUUAUAUAUUGCUCAUUGGGAUAUGCUUAUGGGUCUUCACCAAAGCUCAUAAUGGUUGACGACAAGGGUGGACAGAAGGAGACUAAGGCAAGUUCUGCUUAACUCGAGAUUCGAGGAUAAUUUUCAAUAACACACCAACAACACUGCAGCAUUGAGUAGUCUUGUAGAAUAGUCAAGCCAAACAAAUGGCUUACAUUAAAAUGUAACAACUCUACAGAUCGGUUAGAACUUAAAAUUACAAAUUUACUAGCAAUAUGAGAAAAUGGCAGAACUAAAGUAUAGCCAUAGAUUGAAGAACAUGACUGUGUCUAAAUUGCCACAUGCUAUAAGAGCAGCUUGUCUGAAACUACCCUUGACAGCCACUCCCUGUGAGCUUCAUAGUUCCUUGUAUGGGCUCACCUGUUGGGGCCCAGGAUUUGACUUCCUGCGUGCUCUUCCCUUCGCAAGCCCAGUGACAGCUAGACUUCAACCAAUGGUUUGUUCAACAUCACAGAUGCAAAGAUGUGCCCAGUUCAGUCCCCUGCUGAUGUUAUGAAUUUGGUGUAGUUGAAUGAAAAGCACCAUGCUUCUGGACCAACAACAAUGUACGAUAGAAGCAGUCGAUCCCAGAACAUGUCAGGAUGCUGCAGCUGUAUGCAUUUGGUAGAUCUUGCGGGAAGUGAGAGGGUUGCAAGUCAGAAACACAGGGGCAGAUUGAAGGAGGCUGGGCAUAUUAACAAGUCACUUUCGUGCCUAGGAGAUGUCAUCACUUCCUUAGCUUAGAAGGAUUCUCACACUCCUUACAGAAGUAGCAAAUGUACCCAAUUGCUGCAUAGUUGCCUAGUUGGCUGAAUCUUUGAACAUGUUCACCACAUGCGCUUGUAUAGAUCGUUCACUCUUAUGUAUAUAGCUUAUUUGAAUUAUCUUGCACAUGAUUGGCAUCAUUGUGUAAGUUCAUGCAAUAACACUGGUAAUGAAUCUUAUUUUUUUAUUGGAGUAUAAUAAA